rnacentral:rRNA from 1 species
UUUGUUGGAUUGGUAGGAGAGCGUCGCGUGUUGGGUGAAGCGGUAGUGUGAACUGAUCGUGGACGGCACGCGAGUGAGAAUGCAGGCAUGAGUAGCGAAAGACGGGUGAGAAACCCGUCCUCCGAAUGACUAAGGGUUCCAGGGUCAAGCUAAUCUUCCCUGGGUUAGUCGGGUCCUAAGGCGAGGCCGACAGGCGUAGUCGAUGGUGAACGGGUUGAUAUUCCCGUACCGAUGGUGUGACCGCCCAAUGCGAGCGGGUGAUGCUAAGCAAGUGAAGUCUUCUUGUGGCCUUCGGGUUGCUUGGGGGUGGAGGUUGUGAACCGAAUCCGUGAGUGUAGCGUAUUAACAGGUGUGACGCAGGAAGGUAGCCGAGCCGGGUGAAUGGUUGUAUCCGGGCAAGGAUGUAGGGCCAGUGAUAGGCAAAUCCGUCACUGAAUAGCCUGAGAUCUGAUGCGGAAGUCUCUUUUGGGACGUAGUCGGUGAUCCUAUGCUGCCAAGAAAAGCAUCGGCGUGAGGUUGCAGUGUUGCCCGUACCCAUAACCGACACAGGUGGUCAGGUAGAGAAUACUAAGGAGAUCGAGAGAAUCGUGGUGAAGGAACUCGGCAAAAUGCCCCCGUAACUUCGGGAGAAGGGGGGCCAUCCACUUAUACGGAUUUACUCCGGACAGGGUGUGGUGGCCGCAGAGACCAGUGGGACUCGACUGUUUAUCAAAAACACAGGUCCGUGCGAAGUCGCAAGACGAUGUAUACGGACUGACGCCUGCCCGGUGCUGGAAGGUUAAGAGGAAGGGUUAGCUUUGGCGAAGCCUAGAAUUUAAGCCCCAGUAAACGGCGGUGGUAACUAUAACCAUCCUAAGGUAGCGAAAUUCCUUGUCGGGUAAGUUCCGACCUGCACGAAUGGCGUAACGAAUUCCCAGCUGUCUCCACCGCGAACUCGGCGAAAUUGCAGUACGAGUAAAGAUGCUCGUUACGCGCAGCAGGACGAAAAGACCCCGUGACCUUUACUAUAGCUUGGUAUUGGUGAUUGAAAUGGCUUGUGUAGGAUAGGUGGGAGACUGUGAAGCAUUGACGCUAGUUGGUGUGGAGUCGUUGUUGAAAUACCACUCUGGUUAUUUUAGUUAUCUAACUUCGGACCGUGAUCCGGUUCAGGGACAGUGCCUGGUGGGUAGUUUAACUGGGGCGGUUGCCUCCUAAAGAGUAACGGAGGCGCCCAAAGGUUCCCUCAGCCUGGUUGGUAAUCAGGUGGUGAGUGUAAGUGCACAAGGGAGCUUGACUGUGACACUGACAGGUGGAGCAGGGACGAAAGUCGGGACUAGUGAUCCGGCAGUGGCUUGUGGAAGCGCUGUCGCUCAACGGAUAAAAGGUACCUCGGGGAUAACAGGCUGAUCUUGCCCAAGAGUCCAUAUCGACGGCAUGGUUUGGCACCUCGAUGUCGGCUCGUCGCAUCCUGGGGCUGGAGUAGGUCCCAAGGG